AGAAGCUUGCUUCUCUGAUGUUAGCGGCGGACGGGUGAGUAACACGUGGAUAACCUACCUAUAAGACUGGGAUAACUUCGGGAAACCGGAGCUAAUACCGGAUAAUAUUUUGAACCGCAUGGUUCAAAAGUGAAAGACGGUCUUGCUGUCACUUAUAGAUGGAUCCGCGCUGCAUUAGCUAGUUGGUAAGGUAACGGCUUACCAAGGCAACGAUGCAUAGCCGACCUGAGAGGGUGAUCGGCCACACUGGAACUGAGACACGGUCCAGACUCCUACGGGAGGCAGCAGCAGGGAAUCUUCCGCAAUGGGCGAAAGCCUGACGGAGCAACGCCGCGUGAGUGAUGAAGAUCUUCGGAUCGUAAAACUCUGUUAUUAGGGAAGAACAUAUGUGUAAGUAACUGUGCACAUCUUGACGGUACCUAAUCAGAAAGCCACGGCUAACUACGUGCCAGCAGCCGCGGUAAUACGUAGGUGGCAAGCGUUAUCCGGAAUUAUUGGGCGUAAAGCGCGCGUAGGCGGUUUUUUAAGUCUGAUGCGAAAGCCCACGGCUCAACCGUGGAGGGUCAUUGGAAACUGGAAAACUUGAGUGCAGAAGAGGAAAGUGGAAUUCCAUGUGUAGCGGUGAAAUGCGCAGAGAUAUGGAGGAACACCAGUGGCGAAGGCGACUUUCUGGUUCUGUAACUGACGCUGAUGUGCGAA
rnacentral:rRNA from 1 species